rnacentral:pre_miRNA from 1 species
UCUUCAUUUCGCAUUCUGUCUCACCGGUCGGAUAAGCGAGAGAGCGUGCGAAAUGAAGAGA